CUCUUCUGUGUAAGCUCCUGUGCCACCCUGAUGCUGGUACUCAGGACCUCGAGGUGCUCAGGGUUUGUACCCAGUUCAAAAUACAUCUGAAGUUUAGGGAGAGUUCAACGAUGCAAGUUCGUCAGAGUCGACUCAGAGGGGAAGUUUUACUGGCUUCUUAAGGUUAAGACACCCCCAGAGGUACCUGCAAAUGGACUCAGCAACAUUUUUAUUCUGCUUUUAUUGGGUCGAUAUCAGUCAGCUCUUCAGGUAGUUGCUUGAAUAUAUUUUGUUUUGUUUUAGUUUGUGGUGAAAGACCUGACUCUCUUCGACCAGAAAGACACUUUCAUUUCACCCUGGGGGCAGAUGGGGCCUUUGAGAGCCCCAUCAGCCUCAUCUGCUGGUGGUCUGCGAUGUGUGCCAGUCCCUCGGAAUGCAUGUGGAGAUCCCAAUUGCUUUAAGAGCACUUUGCAUCAUCACAGGGUAUUUUAAGGCUGGGUCAGUGUAAAGUGGCUUUUGUAUUAAGGAGUAUCAGGCCCAGGGAUUUUGUAACUCCACUUACUGCAAUUCUCAUAAUCAGCUUGAAGUCUCUAAUUAGCUGCAGUAAUGACACAGCCCUGCAGACAAAUCUUGAAGGUGAAGGGUGACAUGCUGGAGUUGCUCUCUUCUCUGGGAAAGGCUGAGAUGUAUUGUGCCUUUUUUAAAAAGGUCAGUCAAGCAGCUAAGAAAUUUACUCUCUCCCCAGGUUUCAUUAAAGGCAUUAAAAGCCAUUUGAUAUGUUCAAAAGCCACAUCCACCUCUCUUCUGAUCAGAUCAGGAAUCUUGCCAAAUUAGCUUUAAAAGUUCCAAUUGCCCAUCAUUUGGGGUUCCUGGAGGCCACCUGGUACAUCAUCCUUUCAGACAUCAGGUGAGGCCUGGGUUUGUUCAGGACCGUGGUUUUCCCCAGGGAAUUAUGGUGCCUGGAGUGCAGCGGGUGAUCUGCCUGGCUGAAUCCAGCUCCAGGCUGGCCCCUGGACAAGUGGCUUGGGAGGAAAAAUGUAUCCAUUCUGGGCAAAUUUAAUUAAAGCCUGACAAGAGAAAGGAGAAGUUCUUGACAAAGGGGACUAUGAAAUUUGAAAGGAAAGCUGCUUUGCCAGCUCUCGUUGAGUGAAUAGCUGCGGGAGUUUCUCAGGUCCCCAUAAAUGGCUAUAAUUUGCUUUUCAACAGCGUCUACUAAUGGUUUUGCAGAAGUAUCUCAUUAAAGUUUAUGGGAGCUUCUAAUCUUCCAGGACUCUAAAAAAUGCAGAAGUUGCUCUGUGCCUUUGGAUGAAUUCAUGAGCUGAUCUCAUCAAACUUCCAUCUCCGGAAAAAAGUCCUGUGCUUAUUUCCUGACAAGCUGUCGUGUUUCCAGCUCGGUGGCUUUGUGUCCCCACUUCCCAGACAGUCAGAUGAAAUCUACUGUCCCACAGAGUUGCAACCAACACACGGUAGGGGAGACCCAAGAAGCUACAGCCCGAUCCUGGAGCUGUCAUUCACUUGAGAAGUCAGGAUUUUAAUGCCUGUUGCAACUUAGUGCUGCUGCUGGGCAGGUAAAAAAUUGUCUGUAGCAGCAAGGGUGCUGCUGUGCCCAGCCCUGCAGGGCAGACAUUGCAGCCUUGGUCCUAGGGCUGUGAGGGGCUGCUGGGGCGUGGUGGGGACUGCAGGCAUUCUCUGCCCAUAAUCACUGGCUGGGAUAACUGCAUUCCUCAUGGGAAGUCCCUAAAAGAGGGACCCCAGGCAAGCAGGGGCACAGGGUGGUGCUCCCACAGCCCUGCAGGCUGCCUGAACCAGCUCUUGCUUUGCCAUGCCAGCUUUUGGGACGUUUCUCCCUCAGGGAUGAGCUCUCCAAAGGGUCUGGCAUGCGGAUUCUUGCCUGCUGGGAGACCGCAGCACCCCACUGCAUUCCCGGGAAGUCGGAGCCACCCGGGGGCAGGGAGAGGUGGCUGUGACGAGGGAGGGUGGUGGCUCUGCAGCUGGAGGCAGGGUUUGGUGGUGCCAUGCAGCUGCUGGAGCACAGCCACCUCAGCGCUGACACUGGGACAGAGGGCAAGGAGGACAGCUGGCACCUGUGCUGGGCUGGGCAGAGCUGCCACGAGCUGAGGACCAGCCCCUUGAGCUCCAGGCUCAGCAGGAACAGCACCAAGCAAAAAUGCCACGUCCCCUGGAGAGGUAGUACCUGCCGGUUUAACCUCUUGCAUGGCCUUUUGACUUUCUGAUCUUGAUUUUUUCAGCCUAUUCCCCUUUGCAUGAAAAAAAUGUCUUUUUUUUAAACUUUCUUUCCAGUCCCAAACUUCCCGAAGAGGCAGAAAUGACAAACCCUGUCUCAAAGCCCAGUGUGGUGGAGCAUGGACUAGAGAUGCCAAAGCUCAGGCUAGCUUGGCCAUAUUAUACAUAUAGCUGUAUCUACAAUACACGCAGAGCACUUUCAGCCUCCCAGCACUGGGUCAAAUCUCUGUGGCUGACAAAGCCGACAGCAUCGUCCCCUCCCGCCACACACCGGAGUGUGGCCCAGCAUGCUGGCCAUCACAGUAAAUCAACUCGUUGCUUGCCUUAUUUGCGGCUUCCAACUGGCAACACCGCAGCUCCCGUGGCGUGCCCUUCCUAACAGUUUCCCAAACUUUUCUGCUGAAGCUGCAGGAUUUGGCUUCUCGGUGGAAUUUGUAUUCCGCGGGAGCCCCCUGCUCCCGCCGGCUCCUCGCACCCUGCGAUGCGGUGGUGCCUUCGCCGUCUCUGCACAGCCUGAACUUGGCAGCAUGUGAGGUCGUUUCCCACAGCUACGGGUAAAGCUCGGGGACCACGCCUGUAUUGUGGAGCUAGCUCCCCAUCAGUGCAGCCAAACUCCUGUGAAAGCCUCUUCACUCAAGCAGAGAACAGUUAUUGCCUUUGAUAAGCUUGUAAAACAUUUCUGGCUGUUUCUGGAUUUCUCCGGCAAAGACACAUAGCAGAAGAUAAAACUCACUCAUGUUCUACCCCAGAGCUUAAAAAAACUAGGGAGAAAAAAGGGAAAGUGCUCCUGGACAGGUCAGGUAUGGUUUAGCUGAGGAGAAAAGCCUGACUUUGAAGCACCCACCUUCAUACAGAAUCACAGUUUGGAAAAGAUCAGUGAGUCUCUAAGGUCAUUGAAUCCAACCAUUAAAUAUUUUUGGAGGAAUUUGAUCAGGACCUAGUUGCAGAAUGGGAAAAGCUGUUGGCUUUCAGGGGUUGUUGAUGGGGCAAAAUACAGCUCUUGGAGCACAUAGCAUUGCAUGCUCCUGGUAAUAAGCAUAGCCCAAGGCAGGGGAGGCAGCCCAGGUCUCCUGUCCUUCAGCAGCUGUGGCUCUCUCUGCUGCUGGAAUGAGGCUGUUUGCUCAGGCUGCUCACUGGCCUCAUCUUGUCAUUCAGAGACCUUUCCUAGCCUGAGCUCUAUUUCUGAGGUCCUGAGCAGUGACCCUUAGCAAUUACUCAUUGUGGGAUUUUUUGGGCAAGGAUCUUCGGGGCUCAUUGUGUGCCAACCCCAGUGGAAACUUGACCAGGAUUGAAAAUUUUAGGACACCUCCUCUAUGAAAAUGUACCCAGGACAGAAGGGUCUGGCUUUAUGUUUGCAAUGUUUCACCCUUCAUGGCUGCACUCAAGGCACAAUUUCACUGCUGGGUAAGAAGCUUAGCCAGGACCUUGAAAUUUAGCCCUCACUGCUACCCCUACAAGCUCUGUAAGGACCUCCUCAUGGACACGCACUCAUGAAUUUGGGUAAUGGAGGUGUGGAUGGCUUUCUACAAGCUGCCAGAGGUCUGCUGCAGCCAGAUGAGUAAGACCAGCCCGAGAGCAGCUUCCCCCACCAGGAGGACUCGGGCUGUAGCACAGGGCUCAUCUGUGCCUGGAUGGGUUUCAGUGCCUCCUACUCACACACUGUGAGGCAGAAAGUCACUCUGCUCAGAAAGGUGCUUCAGAAAACCAAAAUAUGUGCACUGGGACCACUCACUUCUGCUGCUGUAGGAACCAUCGCUGUGUGGCAAACGAUUAAUGGGACAAGUAUGCACCACUCCCCUCUGAGCCUCCUCCAGCAGUGCUGAUGCCCUCCCAGGACAUGAUGCUGCCUGACAACCAGGGCGUAGAUGUCAUCCCCUCCCUCACUGCCUCAGACAGCCUAGAGUAGCAUGGCAGGGACUCACAAGCCUUGGAGUUACUAUUUCUGAUCAAGAAAUGGAAAAUCCCUUCUCUGGGGAGGUGCCACUGUGUCCUCUCAAGAUGUUUCACGGUGCAACUGUGCCUCACUUCUACCCAUUUUUGCUGGGGACCUCCUGGAUGACUUUGGUUUGGAGAAGAGACCCAUUCUGUGGCAUGAGGUUGCUCACUUGCUCCUCUCCAGGUGUUUUCUCUGCUGCCACAGCCUGGCCCACCAGGAUGGACCAUGGCUGCCCUCAGGAAGCCUUCAGGACCUCACUGAAGGCAUGGGUUGCACUUGGGUAAGCAUGUCCUUGGAAAUUGACAAAACAUUAAACAUGCUUCACAAUUAACAGAUUUAUCAUCCAACAUUCGAAGAACAGUGUUGGGGGCAAACUUCAACCCCUUCCACCCCAUCUUGGUUGGAAAGGAUGGCAGCUGAUAGUGCUCCAAGAGGAUUUGUGCUGCCACCAGCAAAGCCUGAACAGCUGUGAGGUCAUCCAAAAGCAUCUGAGAUUCUGACUUUGCCACCAAAAUGGGAUUAUGGUGGCAAUAUCAUAGAAUCCAAGAACAGUUGACACUGGAAGGGACCUUAAAGUUCCAACCCUCCCCCUCACUGGGCAGGGACACCGAUGUGCAGUGGUGUGGACACUAGAAAUAAAUUGUUUUCUGAUGUU